UUUUUAAGUAUUGUAAGUGUGCCUUACAAUGAUGAUUAUCUAACUGCUGUGAUGAACUCUCUUGAUAUACCAUGCUAAUGUUUCAUAGAAUUUCUCAGAUAAGGGACAAAUACCAAUCUAGGGCUGCCUAUACAAAUGAUAACAAUUCUGACAAUAUGCAACAGACAGACAAGUCAAACUAUACUUCAGAAAUAGUUUUCAAGCUUGCAAGUCUUUUUUUCUGGAAAUACCAGUUUAAAGUGAAGUCUUUAAUGCUCUUUACAUCUUUGAGGAAUUAUUAGCAUUAUCAGAACCAGAACGCCCACCUGUUCCCAGGGACAACCUCAAGAAUCCAGGAUGAAUAUGAAGAAAACUCCAUUCAUUCGUCUAAUCAACAUUCAUCAAGUCCUUUCUUAUAUAGGGCUUGGCAAUAAGGGAUCAAUAAACAAAGUACAAUGUGCAACUAUGAUGCCACAAUAUGGGCAAAGCACAUUUUCAACAGAGGUUAAAAAAAAAAUCUUAAGGCCCACCUCCCUUUUCUUGCAAUUUUUAAAUACAGGAUAUAAAUUCAAACAUUAAGAGUUAAUACGUGGAAAAUACUAUAGGUGUUUUAGAAAACAAAGAUAAGACAAUUCCUAACCUAGAGCAAUUUAAAAUUUAUGAGCCAUUAGGGAAAUGCAAAUAAAUGAGAUAUUACUAUGUGCUCACUAGGAUAGCUGAAAUCAAAAGGCAGACAAAUAACAAGUGUUGGCAAGAUGUGGAAAAAUUGGAGCCUUCAUACACCUUUGGAAGGAGUGUAAAUACUGCAGCUGCUUAGAAAAGCAGUAUGGAAGUUCCUUAAAAAGUUAGUUACAUAUAGUCGGGCGCAUUAGCUCACACCUGUAAUCCCAGCACUUUGGAAGGCCGAGUUAGGUGGAUCACCUGGGGUCGGGAGUUUGAGACCAGCCUGACCAACAUGGAGAAACCCCAUCUCUACUAAAAAUACAAAAUAAUUAGCCAGGCAUGGUGGCACAUGCCUGUAAUCCCGGCUACUUGCGAGGCUGAGGCAGGAGAAUUGCCUAAACCCAAGAGGCAGAAGUUGCGGUGAGCCAAGACCAUGCCAUUGCACUCCAGCCUGGGCAACAAGAGCAAAAGUCCAUAUCAAAAAAAAAAAAAAAAAAAAAAAAAAGCUUAGUUACAUAUAACCCAGCGAUUCCAUUCCUAACUAUAUACCCAAUAGAACUGAACACACAUGUUCACACCAAAAUUUGCAUAUAAAUGUCCACAGCAGCAUUAUCCACAAGGUAGAAAUCACCCACAUGUCCAUCAAUGGAUAAACAAAAUGUGGUAUAUCCAUUUCAUGGAAUAUUAUUCAGCCAUAUCCAAAGGUAGAAACCACGCAAAUGUCCAUCAAUGGAUACACAAAAUGUGAUAUAUCCAUACAGUGGAAUAUUAUUCAGCAAUAAAAAGUAACGAAGCACUGACAUAUGCUACAACAUGGAUAACCUUGAAAACAUUAUGCUCAGUGAAAGAAGUCAGUCGUAAAAAGACACAAAUUGUAUGAUUCCAUCUUUAUGAAAUGUCCAGAACUGGGAAAUCUAUGGAGACAAAGACUAUUGGUUGCCUAGAGCUGGGGAUCAUGGGAAUGGGGAAAGUGAGAAGUAACUGCUAAUGGGUAUAUGGUUUCUUUUUUGGAGUAAUGAAAAUGUUCCAAAAUUGACUGUGGUGAUGGUUGUACAAAUGCAAAAACACUAAGUACUAUUAAAUUGUAUACUUUAGGCUGGGUGCAGUGGCUCAUAUCUGUAAUCCUAGUGCUCUGGAAGACCAAGGUGGGAGAAUUGCUUGAGGCCAGAAGUUCAAGACUGGCCUAGGCAACACAGUGAAACCCUGUCUCUACAAAAAAAUUAAAAAUUAGCCAGGCAUGGUGGUGCAUGCCUGCAGUCUUAGCUAUUCAAGAGGCUGAAGCAGAAAGAUUGCUUGAGCCCCGGAGACCAAGGUUGCAGUGAGCCAUGAUCAUGCUUCUGCACUCCACCCUGGCAAUAGAGUGAGACCCCGUCUCUAAAAAUAAAUAAAUUAAUUAAUUAAUUAAUUCAUUAAUUAAAUUAUAUACUUUAAAAAGAUGAAUUGUAUUGAAUGUGACUUAUCUCAAUAAAACAGUUAUUUGAAGAAUUUAAUAAAGAGAAGAUCAAACAACUCACUCUAACACAAGGAAGAAAUAAAAUGCUAAAGCGGCAGUGACUAUGAAAAACUGUAUAAGCACAGAUACCAUAACUUUCACAUCUGGUGAGGACCUGGAGGAGUAGUUGAAGGCUCCCAGGAAAAAGUUAAUGUGUGGCAGGAACUGACUGGCAAAAGUAGAGAGAACAAGCUCCUGACUGGGGUUAAUAUAAAGACAUGGUAAUUACUUGUUUCACUUCUUGCACAGUUUAAG
rnacentral:lncRNA from 1 species